GAAAGGGUUAAAGAGAAUAAAAUGGGUCAGAGAAAAACUUAUUGUGCUUAGCAGAUAUCUUGCAGAAAUCUUGCAGCCUUGAGCACUGCAUAGCACAGAUAACCACUAGCCAUCUGACGCUGGGAGGAACCAAGGACGAACCAGACCCUUACAUCAUUAGAGUAGCUUACAACCAGCAAAAAUGAAUAAAAACCUCUCUCUCCCUG